GCCGCACAGGUCGAAGUGGUGAGAUUCCUGGCUUCCAACCAGGCGGACCGGGUUCGAUUCCCGGGUGCGGCU
rnacentral:tRNA from 1 species